rnacentral:rRNA from 1 species
CGAAACUGCGAAUGGCUCAUUAAAUCAGUUAUCGUUUAUUUGAUAGUACCUUACUACUUGGAUAACCGUGGUAAUUCUAGAGCUAAUACAUGCUGAAAAUCCCGACUCACGAAGGGAUGUAUUUAUUAGAUUAAAAACCAAUGCCCUCUGGGCUCACUGGUGAUUCAUAAUAACUUCUCGAAUCGCAUGGCCUUGCGCCGGCGAUGGUUCAUUCAAAUUUCUGCCCUAUCAACUUUCGACGGCUGGGUCUUGGCCAGCCAUGGUGACAACGGGUAACGGAGGGUUAGGGCUCGACCCCGGAGAAGGAGCCUGAGAAACGGCUACUACAUCCAAGGAAGGCAGCAGGCGCGCAAAUUACCCAAUCCCGACGCGGGGAGGUAGUGACAAUAAAUACUGAUACAGGGCUCUUUUGGGUCUUGUAAUUGGAAUGAGUACAAUUUAAAUCCCUUAACGAGGAACAAUUGGAGGGCAAGUCUGGUGCUGCUGACGCCAGAGAGAGUUGGGCGCGCGACAGCGGCCCGUUAGCUAGUCCCCAGCGGGCGAGGUACCCUGGAACGAGGAAGCCUUAGGGCGCUUGAUAGCGCUACGGCAAUCUCGUGGUGAUCUGUUACAGAACACCUUAACGCGCGGAAAGGUACCGGCGAGGAAGGAUCUCGCUCAAGGAACGUGCUGUCCCGCCUGAAAAGGCGCUCUGCUAUGCAAUCUGAAGGCAGCGGAGGGGUAGUCUUUCAGGCUGCCCGGUUCUUGCAAUGUAAGCUAGUUGCGCCCGGGAACAUGUUCCCCGGGGGUGCUUUAGCGCAAACAAAACGGCCAGCAGCCGCGGUAAUUCCAGCUCCAAUAGCGUAUAUUAAAGUUGUUGCGGUUAAAAAGCUCGUAGUUGAACCUUGGGCCUGGCUGGCCGGUCCGCCUCACCGCGUGCACUGGUUCGGCCGGGCCUUUCCCUCUGGGGAACCGCAUGCCCUUCACUGGGCGUGUCGGGGAACCAGGACUUUUACUUUGAAAAAAUUAGAGUGUUCAAAGCAGGCCUAUGCUCGGAUACAUUAGCAUGGAAUAAUGAAAUAGGACGCGCGGUUCUAUUUUGUUGGUUUCUAGGACCGCCGUAAUGAUUAAUAGGGACAGUCGGGGGCAUCAGUAUUCAAUUGUCAGAGGUGAAAUUCUUGGAUUUAUUGAAGACUAACUACUGCGAAAGCAUUUGCCAAGGAUGUUUUCAUUAAUCAGGAACGAAAGUUAGGGGAUCGAAGACGAUCAGAUACCGUCGUAGUCUUAACCAUAAACUAUGCGAACUAGGGAUCGGACGAUGUUAUUUUUUGACUCGUUCGGCACCUUACACGAAA